UUGCCCUUACUCAAUAUAUUACACUUCCUGCUUUCCCCAUGCACUCAACGUGUUUUGGAUCUUUGAGUGAGGGUCUGUGAGUUAUAAAUUCUCUUUAGUCUUUGACCCGCUGUAAGAUCUAAUUCUCUUGAACUAUACGUUAACUAGGCAAAGAAGUUCAGAUGAACAGGGUUUCUCCUCCGUUCAACUGGGAUAGCACUGUGCGUUCUCUGGCCUUUCAUGCCGCAGACAGGAAGUCUGCCACAAGCUUUUAACUUUAGGGGGUGUCUAACUGCCUUUUCAUUACACCAAAAGUGUAAAUUCCUUGUCACUGGUGUUGUGGGGUUGAUUUAUUGUUAUUCUAGCCUGCUUGGAACCUUGAAUAUAUGUACCUUGAAUAAACUUUGUACAUAUUUUAACAAUUAUUUCCCAAUACCUUACUUCACUGUCUGCGCUGUCUUUCUUCUAGCCCUGGGUUCUUGGGUAGCCUCUACCUUCCGUGACUUAUGUUUUUCAGUUCUCAGGGUGAAAAUGUUGAGGUCUGGAGCAUGCUGGGAGAUCAAAACAGGAUCAAUAGACCUUGCAUGUUACGGCUUCUGUGUACAGUUAAGACAGGAAAGCAAGCGCAGUAGAUGACUUUGAAAGGACCUGCUGGCAUUUGGGGCCAAGAAAACAUCACACUCUACUUCACACUAAAUUCCACCAAAUUCCUCUUGCCCAGAACCCAGUGGCCCACAUGGAAGAUCCCCAAAUUAACAACUUUGUGGAACCCAGGGUGUAGAUGAGCAGCUUCACAGGGCACGCGACCAAAACCGCCCCCGCAGGCCAAGCCCACCGUCGUAUUCUCCAAACCUGUAACAGAGCGGCUUGGCCACGAUGUUAAUCUGCAAUUAGCUGUUUUAAUCCCUAAAAUAGCUCUGCCACCCUUGUAUAGAGUCACGUAGGGAAAGAGAAAACCAGGGACCACCACAGCAAGGUCAGGGGGAGUUGGAAGCUCAGACCUCUGAGGGCCAACCUUCUAUUUGGAUUGUGUGUGGUUCCAGAUGAGGCUGUGAUUUCCCGGGAGCUGACAGCUGGGCUGACAGCUGCUUAACCUGAUUAGAUACGCCUCAGCCACAGACGCUGGGGCCACAGACAACUGCUCAUUUGAGAUGCAUGCCACUGGCACCCGCCUGCAAGAAUAAAGGCCGGCCUCAAACAGA